AUUGAACGCUGGCGGCAUGCCUUACACAUGCAAGUCGAACGGUAACAGGUCUUCGGAUGCUGACGAGUGGCGAACGGGUGAGUAAUACAUCGGAACGUGCCUAGUAGUGGGGGAUAACUACUCGAAAGAGUGGCUAAUACCGCAUGAGAUCUACGGAUGAAAGCAGGGGAUCGCGAGACCUUGCGCUACUAGAGCGGCCGAUGGCAGAUUAGGUAGUUGGUGGGAUAAAAGCUUACCAAGCCGACGAUCUGUAGCUGGUCUGAGAGGACGAUCAGCCACACUGGGACUGAGACACGGCCCAGACUCCUACGGGAGGCAGCAGUGGGGAAUUUUGGACAAUGGGCGAAAGCCUGAUCCAGCAAUGCCGCGUGCAGGAUGAAGGCCUUCGGGUUGUAAACUGCUUUUGUACGGAACGAAAAGCCCCGGGUUAAUACCCUGGGGUCAUGACGGUACCGUAAGAAUAAGCACCGGCUAACUACGUGCCAGCCGCCGCAGUAA
rnacentral:rRNA from 1 species